UAAUAAAAGCGUUUUAUGGCGCUUUUCAAAUAAAUCCAUAUCCACCUUGUGUGCAAUGUUUUUUUUUAUUAUCAAUAAACACUUUAUAAUCUUGAACCAAUUUUUCUGAAUAUCAGUAUUAUUAUGAAUUAACUUAAUUCAAAAUA
rnacentral:misc_RNA from 1 species